GCUGGCGUAGCUCAGUUGGUAGAGCAGCUGAUUUGUAAUCAGCAGGUCGGGGGUUCAAGGCCGUCCGCCAGCUCCA
rnacentral:tRNA from 1 species